CUGUUGAGCUUGACUCUAGUUUGAUACGUGAGGCGGCCCACUGGGUGCAGCAUAGGGGGGAGCAUUGCGCGCCCAUGAGAUACCCCCACCGGUGGAGCAACCUUACUUAUGCCCGAUCGCAGCAUUACGUUCGAUAGAUGUAAUCCCACCCGGGAGAUGCCGGGGCAGACAGUAUCAGGUGGGGAGUUUGGCUGGGGGGGUAU
rnacentral:rRNA from 13 species